AUUGAACGCUGGCGGCAUGCCUUACACAUGCAAGUCGAACGGUAACGCGGGGCAACCUGGCGGCGAGUGGCGAACGGGUGAGUAACGCAGCGGAACGUGCCCAGGAGUGGGGGAUAGCGCGGCGAAAGCCGGAUUAAUACCGCAUACGACCUACGGGUGAAAGGGGGGGAUCGGAAGACCUCUCGAUAGUGGAGCGUCCGAUGUCAGAGUAGGUAGGUGGUGGGGUAAAGGCCUACCAAGCCGACGAUCUGUAGCUGGUCUGAGAGGACGACCAGCCACACUGGGACUGGGAAACGGCCCAGACUCCUACGGGAGGCAGCAGUGGGGAAUUUUGGACAAUGGGCGAAAGCCUGAUCCAGCCAUGCCGCGUGCGGGAAGAAGGCCUUCGGGUUGUAAACCGCUUUUGUCAGGGAAGAAAUCUUCUGAGCUAAUACCUCGGGAGGAUGACGGUACCUGAAGAAUAAGCACCGGCUAACUACGUGCCAGCAGCCGCAGUAA
rnacentral:rRNA from 1 species